rnacentral:lncRNA from 1 species
CACACACACACACACACACCCUGAAAGGGCUUUCCUUGUCUUAAGCCUCUGUGUAUGAAACACUCUGGAACCCACCGGCCUAGGUGUUAGAACAGCACCGAAGUUGCCAGGGCCAGGGGUCCAGCCAUCCUGACCUCUGCUAGCCACCCUGCAAGGGCCGAUGUUCCCACGCAGGAGGCCCCAGGGAGGUGGUACUGAGCAACCGGCCACACCCAAGGAAACAGCUCAGAGCUCAACUUCCUCCUGAAUUAGGCCACACCCGAGGCCUCCCGGGUCUCAUCCACGCCUCUGGGUCCAUCACUAAACAGAAGGCACAAUCCCACUAACUCUUACUCCAUCGCUGCUCAUGAAACUCCUGCCAGUAAGGACUGGGUCAAGCACCUGAAAACCAGAGCUCGUCCGUGGCUUCACUUGUUUUGGACUAAGGAGCUGAGGAGCGUGCAAGACUGUACUUGGAGAAUCUGUUUCUUGCUGCCAUUUCGUCACUGAACACUAUUUUUUUUCUCCUUCUUUUUUUGUAAGAAAAGGAGAACACAUAAAACCCCACCAGAACAAACUCCACUCGGCCCUGAAAGUAUUUACAAUCACGGCCCUGAAAGUACUGAAAGUAUUUACAAUCACGUUACAGUUCAUUCACUGCUGCAGAACCUCUCUCCAGCGAUCAAGGUCGAAGGGAGCCGACGUCGCCCUCUAUCGGCUCCCUGCUGCACUAGAAGCCGGACUCACUCAGGAGGCCCUUCAUCUUCAUGUUCCCCACAUAGCAGAGGGGAGGGCAGAAGAUGAGAGGGAGGAGAGAGCAGAGCCAAGAGCCUCCUUUUCUCCCACUGUGCCCCUCCUAUGUGUGGCUCUGGACACCAGGAACCACCCAAGGACAGUGGGACUCCUCGAAAAGAUAAUUGCUCAUGAGGGAUCCAAGAGCAAGGCUUGUUACAUCCUAUAACCUUCACACAAAAUAUUGACUGAGAAUCCUCCAUGUGCCAAGUACUGUUCAAAAACACUGGGAACCCAGCAGGGAUGAGCCACAAGUUUCCUUGUCUUUACGAAGCUUUCAUUCUGAGGGAGUGGAGAGAGACAAGCAAUAAACAACCAAUCAAAACAAAGAUGACUCCUCUGAGUGUUGUGAUAUGCGGGUCAAGGAGGAUGGCUCCCAGGAUGUGACCUCAGAGCAGAAGCCUGGAGGCUUGCCAGCAGCGGGAAGAGCAGCGGCAGGGCACUGCAGGCAGAGGUGACCAAAAGCGUGAAACCUUGAGCUGGGAAGCACGUGGUCUGCUGGAAAGUGGGCUGAUGUAUUUGAAGAGAGCAAGGAGCAGAAUGGUACAAUGGGGUGAUGGGGGAAGAGCCAGGCAGAGCCCAGUGCUGCAAAGCCCGGUAGCACAUACAUGUGUAACGUACCUUGAAGCAAAUGAAUGGCCUGAUCUGGUUUCUGUUUUGGCUGCUCUGUGGUGAUGUGGUGCCUGGGAGGCAAAGAAGCUGGGAAAGAAGCGGUUUUUCUCUUCUAGGUACUUUAAAGCUCUAUAAUAUAUGCUCAGGUGAAAUUUGGCUGGUAUUUUCAGGGACUUCACUGCUUUUGUGCCAUACUGGCCUCAUCAUGUAGAUAACAUCACGG